rnacentral:rRNA from 1 species
UACGAAGGGGGCUAGCGUUGUUCGGAAUUACUGGGCGUAAAGCGUGCGCAGGCGGCUCUCAAGUCAGGGGUGAAAGCCCAGAGCUCAACUCUGGAAUUGCCUUUGAGACUGAGUGGCUUGAGUACGAGAGAGGUGAGUGGAAUUCCCGGUGUAGCGGUGAAAUGCGCAGAUAGUCGGGAGGAACACCGGUGGCGAAGGCGGUUCUCUGGGCCUUACCUGACGCUGAGGAGCGAAAGCGUGGGGAGCGAACAGG